rnacentral:tRNA from 1 species
CGGGGCGUGGCGCAGUCUGGAAGCGCACCGGAAUGGGGUUCCGGUGGUCGUAGGUUCAAAUCCUAUCGCCCCGACCA